ACAAUGAGUCCAGGGGCAGAUGCCGAUCAAUGGGGCAGGACUUCGAUUAUGGAGUUGGGAGUAGGAACAGGGAGAGACGGGACACAAUGCGAGUAGCUGGGCUAAUUAACUGACAGGGAACCCCCGAAAGCGAAAUUGCCCAACAAAUGACAACGCUCAUGAGUUCCUUCAGUUAAUCCACCUCAUCCAGCUUUUCUUCAGCUUCCUCGAGCAACUUUAGAUGGGGGAUUGACAGGAGGAACUGGAGGAACUGGAGGAACUGGAGGAAAAAGCAGCCAUCAGCAUCGGGCAUCAAGCAUCGGCACUGGAUUGAUGUGUUUAUGGUGCUCGUAAUGCGAAUGCCCGCCGAGGGCUCAUUUAAUGUUGUAAGAACAACCGGGAGGAUGGAGGAUAUAUUGUUCCACUGCCGCAGAUUUAGAUUUAUCGAUUGGCUAAUUUAUGAACAUCCGCUGCGAAUCCGAUUGAUAUGUAAAUGUGCUCACAUUUGUGUCACUCAUUUUGGGUUCCCUCCACCGAAGUCUGCGAGAUAAUCGCGCGGACAGAAUAGGAGCCAGUAAGUAGUCCAGUCGGCAGCAACCAGUUGACGGUUUCUGCCGGCCACUUGACAGUUGCCCGUGGGCAGUGUACAGUGGUCAAUGGAUGUGGCUGCUGGACAGUGGACAGUGGACAGUGGACAGAGGACUGUGGUCAGUUCACAUCGUUCGGUGCAAUGAAUCGUUCCGAUAGCCAUCUCUCGCAUGAGACGCACGAACACACACACGGCGAGAUCCCAAUCGCUCCUCUCAUUACAGUCAAUCCUCUGCUCAUUUCGGGGUCACCAACAGGUCAUGAUGCGCUGCAUCCGGUGCACGAACAAUGAAUAAAAGCUUUUCCAAAUCAGAGCGCUCUUUUUAUAAGUUUGACUUUAUCAAUUAAAA